CGGUAAUUCCAGCUCCAAUAGCGUAUAUUAAAGUUGUUGCAGUUAAAAAGCUCGUAGUUGGAUCUCGGGUCCAGGCCUGCGGUCCGCCUCGCGGCGGUUACUGCUCGUCCUGGCCUACCUGCCGGUGUGUCCCUUGGUGCUCUUGAUUGAGUGUCUCGGGCGGCCGGAACGUUUACUUUGAAAAAAUUAGAGUGUUCAAAGCAGGCGUGUCGCCUGAAUAAUGGUGCAUGGAAUGAUGGAAUAGGACCUCGGUUCUAUUUUGUUGGUUUUCGGAGCUCGAGGUAAUGAUUAAGAGGGACUGACGGGGGCAUUCGUAUUGCGGUGUUAGAGGUGAAAUUCUUGGAUCAUCGCAAGACGAACUACAGCGAAAGCAUUUGCCAAGCAUGUUUUCAUUAAUCAA
rnacentral:rRNA from 1 species